AUCUACCAAGGUUUCAGCAAGUUGAGAGAACUGACCAACUAUGCUUAGACUCAAACGUUAAGUGGGGCUGGAGCUGGUUAGUACUAGGAUGGGAGACCACCAAGAAAUCCUCAAGCCUGUAGAUG
rnacentral:rRNA from 1 species